rnacentral:rRNA from 1 species
GAUGAACGCUGGCGGCGUGCCUAAUACAUGCAAGUAGAACGCUGAAGCUUGGUGCUUGCACCGAGCGGAUGAGUUGCGAACGGGUGAGUAACGCGUAGGUAACCUGCCUCUUAGCGGGGGAUAACUAUUGGAAACGAUAGCUAAUACCGCAUAAAAGUCGAUAUCGCAUGAUAUUGAUUUGAAAGGUGCAAAUGCAUCACUAAGAGAUGGACCUGCGUUGUAUUAGCUAGUUGGUGAGGUAACGGCUCACCAAGGCGACGAUACAUAGCCGACCUGAGAGGGUGAUCGGCCACACUGGGACUGAGACACGGCCCAGACUCCUACGGGAGGCAGCAGUAGGGAAUCUUCGGUAAUGGGGGCAACCCUGACCGAGCAACGCCGCGUGAGUGAAGAAGGUUUUCGGAUCGUAAAGCUCUGUUGUAAGAGAAGAACGAGUGUGAGAGUGGAAAGUUCACACUGUGACGGUAACUUACCAGAAAGGGACGGCUAACUACGU